AGUCUUGAUGCUGCGCUCGUGCCGAACGGUCGUGCGUGGCACUUCGCUCCCGACGUAUCCCCCAUUUUCAUUUGUAAUUGCCCCUCACUAUUAUUCAUGUACUUGCUCCGAUAUCCAAGGAGAACCCGACAACCUCUGAUAACCAAAGAGAACCCGACAAACUCCAAUAACCAAGGAGUUUCCAGACCUUCCCCCUACUUUAUCCUCUCUCCCUCUUUUAUUGUAAUUCUUAUAAUUACUAUAUA
ensembl:ncRNA Y49E10.37 ncRNA